UGGGGAAUCUUGCACAAUGGGCGAAAGCCUGAUGCAGCCAUGCCGCGUGAAUGAUGAAGGCCUUAGGGUUGUAAAAUUCUUUCGUCAGGGAUGAUAAUGACCGUACCUGAAGAAGAAGCCCCGGCUAACUUCGUGCCAGCAGCCGCGGUAAUACGAAGGGGGCUAGCGUUGUUCGGAAUUACUGGGCGUAAAGCGCACGUAGGCGGAUUUUUAAGUCAGGUGUGAAAUCCCGGGGCUCAACCUCGGAACUGCAUUUGAAACUGGAAGUCUUGAGACCAGGAGAGGUUAGCGGAAUACCGAGUGUAGAGGUGAAAUUCGUAGAUAUUCGGUGGAACACCAGUGGCGAAGGCGGCUAACUGGACUGGUACUGACGCUGAGGUGCGAAAGUGUGGGGAGCAAACAGG
rnacentral:rRNA from 1 species